CAGAGUGACUAGCUACUGAAUCAUUAAUUGAAUAACUUCAAUAUGAUGUGGUAAGGGAAAAUAAUGAUACUACCUUACUUAUAGUGUUGUCUAAAGCUGGUGCCAGAAGACUCGGUAAAGCCAGAAACGCAAACGUUAAUCAUCAUAAACAGGCGUAAAGGGUUAGUAGGCUGCUUUUUAGUUAAUAAUUUAAUCUUAACCCUUUAAGAUUAAAAUUAAACUAAUAAAAAAAUUUUAUUUUUAAUCUUAACCCCUUAAGUUUAAAAAUAAAAUAAUAAAAAAUUUAUUAGUUUAUUUUUAUUAAUCUUUAGAGCUAGAAUCAAAAAGAAGUUAAAAAGUAUAAUACUUAGAGUAGGGAUAAUAUCUGGAGAUACUAGGCGGAAUACUAAAGGUGUAAACAACUAACUAUAAAUGAUUGACGCUGAGAGACGAAGGUGAGGACAGGAAAUAGGAUUAGAUACCCCGGUACCCCUCUCUGUAAACGAUGAAUGGUAAUCAUUAGUAUAUUACUAGUGGUAAAGUUAACACGUUAACCAUUCCGCAUUGGGAGUACGACUGCAAAGUUGAAAACAAAAAAAUUAGUCGGUCUCGAAGCAAACGGAGUGAAGCAUGUUAUUUAAUUGUAAAUCCCCAA
rnacentral:rRNA from 1 species